rnacentral:rRNA from 1 species
AUAGCUACUUGCAUCAUUGAAAAUAUGAUGCAAGAUCGACUAUGUCGAAUAAAAUUCUAGGUAGAAUUAUGAUAAUGACAUUGUCUGCCUAUGUGUCUUGACCAAAUUACGUGCCAGCAGUCGCGGUAAUACGUAGAAGACUAGUGUUAUUCAUGUUUAAUCGGUUUAAAGGGUACCUAGACGGUAAAUCAAGCCUAAAAGGAAGGUAAUAAAGGGACUAAUUUACUAGAGUUACUUAUGAGGGGGUAUUAAAGUACUGCUGGUGUAGAGAUGAAAUUCUGUCAUACCUCUUUUCAAUAGAAAAAUAAUGGCACAGGUAUAGGCGAAAGCAUCCCCUUAUGUGAUAACUGACGUUGAGGGACGAAGGCUUUGUGUAGCGAACAGGAUUAGAUACCCCAGUAGUCAAAGCAGAAAAUGAUGAAUGUCAUAGAUUAGAUAUAUAAGUUUAUUCUAUAAAUGAAAGUGUAAGCAUUCCACCUCAAGAGUAAUUUGGCAACAUUGGAACUGAAAUCAUUAGACCGUUUCUGAAACCAGUAGUGAAGUAUGUUGUUUAAUUUGAUGAUCCGCAAAAAACCUUACCACAAUUUGAAUAUUUAUAUCUUUUAUUGUUUUUCUUUUUAACUUUCUUCUGAUUUUCUACUUAAAAGAAAACAAUAACAAGAAAAAAGAGGCAAUAAGAU